CAUGACUUCCUGAGAACUGUUCUGAGCAUGCAGUGUUGCAGGUCACGACUGCCUGGGCAGCAAUCCUCAACUUGUCUGCCAAGACUACACAACAGCUCACAGCUGCCUGUGCAAUGAAAGCAAAGGCCAGCUUCUCAGAGGGAAGAGGCAGGCUCCAAGCAGGAAGAUUAUGGCAGGCUUAAAGAUCAUAUCAUAACAAGAGACACCUGAUACCAAGCUCUGAUUCACACAGCAAGUUCUCCUAACAAGUUGGCAACAGGUCCAGUAGGCCAGGACUGGGGCCUCGCAAGUCAGCAUUGAGUCCUGUGGCCUCUUGCCAGCAGUGGCAAUACUGUUUUUCCUGGGCUGCUGGGUGACGCUGUUACGGCGUGGUUUGUCUUGCUUCUGCGUGGUGGUGAAGGCCACGGAGCUGAGCUGGGCUGCCUGUCCCAGACAUGUUUGGCAUGGACACUUCAUCUGAGGUUUUCAUUGUUACUCAGGAGAGCAGAGUGCUGAAAUGUAAUUCAGUUGAAGGACAUACAACUUUUUAUAUCUGAAGCAUUUGCAGGAGGAAACAUUUAGAGAUAACGGCAGCCAAUUUUAUGGUUUACCAGCAGGACCAAUGUUGUCCCUGCAGCCAGAGUGCUUGGGAGCCCAGGAGUUUUUGACUUGGUACUUUACAGGAGGCUUUACACUAUUCAAUGGCUUUUGCACUAUUUAAUCGAAUAUAAUUGUAUUUGUGAGUUAAAAGUAGUGGAAUCUGGUCAUUUUUGACAUUAGUUAUCUUUUGAAAAGCACAACUGGAGGGAAUCUUAUAACAAAGAGCAACUGUCCCUUAAAUUUCAAUGUAUUUAUGAAACAUUUUUUCUCCGGCAGUCUCUCAAAUAACUCAGUGAAGCAGGCUUAACACUGCCAUAAUGAUAUGCUACUUGUAAUACAUGUGAAAUAUGUAAUUGCUUUGAAAGAGUGUUAAGCUUUGAAAAUGUGUUAAGUUUUGAAAGAGACUUAGGCUCAGAAGUUGAUAUGUGACUAGAAUUUGCUUUUAAAACUCAUUCUUUAAUGUAAAUUCUACCAUUUAACUUAUAGUUCAUGUCAUGAACAUGGUGAACACAUGAUGAAUGGAUCACUUAAUUAUUAAGAUGGUUGGUAUAGGCCUCAGGCAAAGUAUUUAAAGCAUUUUUAUAACAUGCUGCUCUAAAGAUUACAAUAAACCUUAGUAAAAAUAA